GCAUUAUUUGCUCACGGUGCACAAUCACGUGGUCUAUGAUGUCACACCGUAGGUAUCGCGCCGAGCAUUUUUUGUCAACAAAGCGUCGAUUGAAGAAGAAAAUUCGUCGUCCUUUUACUAUAGAACUAGUCGGAAGACUGUUUGCAAUCUGGUAGCAAAUAUGAGCAACGAGCAGAUCCAUACAACGUGCAUUGUACAUUGGAAGACAGGGACCACGACUUUGAUCGCUCAGAGAGAACUAGGGUCUUGUGCAUGGAAAAGGUUGCUAAAGUGAGCCUAGACCAGAAUGCAGUUAAAGGGAAUCCCUUUGUGUUCGAUGGGACAGCAGUGCAAGGCAGAAUGAAAGCAAACUGUGAUCCCUCCGAGUGUUAGAAUUAGACUCAGCAACUGAUGAUACACAACAUGUUUGCGUGUUAUUUGGCUGCCUUUCGACUAAAAAUUCAAGGGUGCUGACAUAGGACAUUUCUUUCAAAAUUCUAUUUUAGACAUUGCCAUGAGUCAAUAGACCAAGUUUGAAGAACUUUGUAUGUUGGAAAUUUUAGUUAUUACACAGUUAACUCUCGUAAGCCUUUAAGGCAAUGUAUCAUGAUGUAGACUGGACUUUUCCUGAGUCAGGUCGUUUAAACAGUUGUAAUACUAACACAUUCCAGAACUUUCAGCUUCAUUUUUAUUAUUUUUAAAGACAUGUAACUUCAUGUAUAAUCAAUCAUACUAAACAAGAUAAAAGUCACACUUAUCAUAUGAUUGCCGUAAAAUAAUGUAUUAUUUCCCGAAAAUUCGUUCCUAUAAAUAUUUGGUUUACAUUUACCUUAUCUCUACAUUGAAAGUA